rnacentral:rRNA from 1 species
GAUGAACGCUGGCGGCGUGCCUAACACAUGCAAGUCGAACGAAGCAAUAAAGACGGAGAUUCGUCAAAGCCUUUAUUGACUUAGUGGCGGACGGGUGAGUAACGCGUGAGCAACCUGCCUUUCAGAGGGGGACAACAGUUGGAAACGACUGCUAAUACCGCAUAAUGUACAGAGGGGGCAUCCCUUUUGUAUCAAAGGAGCAAUCCGGUUUGAGAUGGGCUCGCGUCCGAUUAGCUAGUUGGUGAGAUAACGGCCCACCAAGGCGACGAUCGGUAGCCGACCUGAGAGGGUGAUCGGCCACAUUGGAACUGAGAAACGGUCCAG